rnacentral:lncRNA from 1 species
GGACUUUUGGGCCUUCUUGAUCACAUGAGCUAAUUGCUAACUCUCAUAGUCUCUCUUUCUCUCUCUCUCCCUCCCUGUCCUACUUAAUAUCCAAAGUCUCCUAUUAGUCUCCUGGUGUUUUUCCCGGAGGACCCUGACUAACACAAGGUUUCUUGUUAGCCUGGUGAAGUACUCAUCAAACUACAGUCACCCAGGAUGUUGGAAUUACCAGCCAGCAUGGGGCAUGUCAGAAAGAAGGACUCAAGAACUCUCAGAUUUUGAUCACUCAGGAGAACUCUUCCCUUAACCCGGCUAAUAUUCCAAAUUUAUAUCUUUCUCUUUCCCCUAUAUGCCAAACUUCUAUGAGGAGAAAUAGCACAGCCACUUUUAUAGAAUGUCACUACGUGUCUGGCUCUGGGCUAAACAAUUAAAAUAGAUGGUCUCAUCCAUUUCUCAUAACACUCACAUACUAUGGAUAUUAAUUUAAUUGAAUAUAUGAAAGAAUAAGGCUGGGUUGAUUAACAUUUUUCCCAAGGACACACACUAUAUGCGGAAAUCUGGAUCCAGAGCGCUUAACCAGUAAGGCCCCCCAUCGUCAUUAUCUUCAUGACCAG